UUAUCUGAUUCACACAAACCGUUUUACAUCUCACAAUGCCCAAUUGAAAUCAGUUCUGAAAACUGAAGAGAAUAUUAUGGCUUCUCAAUUACUUCACUGCUUGAUGCUCAUUAUAUAAGUUGUCGAGGAUAGUGAGUUAUGAUUCACCUUUGAGGCUCUGACUUGCCUGGACUUCUCAAUUCAUUGUUGCUCGCCUCCUCAGUUUGUGGGAGUCGCCUAACGUCAAGAAAAACGCAGGCACUUCCAUAUCUAUUACAUACUUCUUCUCGACGCAAAGUGUGGUUUUUGUCAAGCCGGAGCCAAAGCGCCAGACAUAUCCAUGCCUUGGACAAGGCCAUCAAACUUCACGUCCUGCCGGAGAAACACCUCAUGACACUGCCAGAGAGUUGGAACCAUCACGCGCCUUGGAGGAAGACGAUGGUAAUGGAGAGUCAAACGCAAACACUGGUGGCUUUGGUAUGAGGAGGUUCUAAGAUGUGUCUGAGGAAGAAGGAUGGAUCUAUGUUCCAUAUAAGGAGAUCCCGGAUAACUGGUCUGAGUCUGUUGAGAUUCAGUCAUUACGUCUCUGGAUCGCUCCUUUGUGUUUACUGGGGAGCAGAUUCAGAUCCUUGCAGUUGCAUGCUUAUCUGAGAGUAAAGGGGACGCCGAGAUUAUCACCCUUUUUAAAGUUGCUGAGGUGAUGAACAAAACUUUACAGAGAAAUCUCUCUGACAAUGGGAGUACACCAUCAGGGGAUGGGGAAUUGAGCCCUGAUGGUCAGUUUGCAACUCAGAACGGUGACAGUCCUGGUAAAGAGAGUUUGGAUUCACAAAAAGGACGUAUCUAAUGGCGAAUCAAUUUUCAGGAUGGAAGAUCAAUAAGAGAAGAACAUAAGACUUCCUUUCCAGGUUUCAGAAGUCUCAUUUCUUUGUUAGGAUCGCAGAGUCUGGUGAGCCGCUUUGGUCAAAGAAACCUCUGUGUUGGGAGAUACAAAGCUAGUGGAAAAGCGGGAAAAA